UACGUAGGGUGCGAGCGUUAAUCGGAAUUACUGGGCGUAAAGCGUGCGCAGGCGGUUUUGUAAGCCGGAUGUGAAAUCCCCGGGCUUAACCUGGGAAUGGCAUUCGGGACUGCAAGGCUGGAGUGCGGCAGAGGAGACUGGAAUUCCUGGUGUAGCAGUGAAAUGCGUAGAUAUCAGGAGGAACACCGGUGGCGAAGGCGGCCCCCUGGUUGGAUACUGACGCUGAGACGCGAAAGCGUGGGGAGCAAACAGG
rnacentral:rRNA from 1 species